UGGGAGCUGCAUGAAUACCAACUGUGUAAGUGGGUCGUCUCACCGUUCAGAGAUGCCAUCUGUGCUCCAUGAUCUGACAUAAGGUGUGGACCUUGAAUUCCUAUCGUCACAGAGUGGAAGUGCUAAUAGGUGUUGGGGACCCCCUUCAGGAAGAGGCAGGAGAGCUGCAUGGGGAGGCCCAUUUCACCUGCUCAGUGGGGAGUUUGUCUCCUUGACUCGCCACUAAACCACAGGAGUCUGAGCCUCUUCUCAGUGAAAACUGGCUGCCCCAGAGGAGAGCACAGUCUUCAGUCAUGCUGUCACUGAAGCCAGCAGUGGCUCUGGCCAUCCUUGGAGUUUUGUAUGUGUAUGGUGCACGUCACCUGGAGCAACCUCAUCCUUCCAUUACUAAAACCCUCUCCAAAACAGCGCGCCUGGAGUGUAUCUUGUCUGGAGUAACUAUUUAUGCCAUGUCCAUAUACUGGUAUCAGGAAAAACCUGGCCAUCCCCUGAAGCACCUACUGUUCAUUUCAGCUGAUGACACUGUCAACCUGGAACCAGGCAUUACAGUGGGCAAAUUUGAGGUGGACAAGAUACCUGAGACAUCUACGUCUACCCUCACCAUUCACAAUGUAGAGAAAGAAGACUCAGCUACCUACUAUUGUGCCUUCUGGGAAUUGGAUGAGAAAGUCUUCAGUGGUGGAACUAAGCUUGUUGUCACAGAUAAAAGCUCUGACACAGACAUUUCCCCCAAGCCCACGAUUUUUCUUCCUUCAGUUGUUGAAAUAGACCUCCAUAAGGCCGGGACCCAUCUUUGUGUUCUUGAGAAUUUUUUCCCUGAUGUCAUUAAGGUAUACUGGGAAGAGAAGUAUGGUGAAAGGAUUCUGGAAUCCCAGGAGGGAGACACCACAAAGACUGAUGACACAUACAUGAAGAUGAGCUGGCUAACUGUGACUGGAGAGUCAAUGUAUAAAGAGCACAGGUGUAUCAUCAAACACGAGAAUAAUAAAGGAGGGGUUGAUCAAGAGAUUCUCUUUCCUGCGAUAAAUAAAGCACGUGUCAACAAGACUGAAGCUUGCUUUAAAGAUAAAUAUGAUGCACUGAGGCUGCAGCUCACAUAUACCUCCGCCUACACCUCUGCCUACUGCACCUACCUCCUUUUGCUUUUCAAGAGUGUGGUCUACUUGGCCAUCAUCACCUUCUGUCUGCUAAGAAGAACAGCUGUCUGCAGCAAUGGGAAGAGCUCCUAACAGACAGUGGUACAACAGGAUCGUGUUGUGUUCUUCAUUUAUUGUCCUGAACAGCAUUUGAUGAGGACCUGGCUGGGUUUGUUUACUGAGUUCGGGCUCCUUAAGUUCAUAUGUGUAUUAUUCUGUCCUUAUUGCAGAAGGUUUUAAAACCAAUGGGCAAACUCAGGAACUUCACUCUGCAACAACAGGGAGUAAGCCCAUGGUGGCCCCUUGUCCCUCUGUCUCCACAGUCCCCAUCAGCCCCUCCAGCCAGCCCAAAUCAUGGCAGUGUUUGGUGUGAACAGAGUACACCUUUUAGUCACAGCCCUCAGUGCCCUUUAAGCAAAGACUAUCUUAAAGUCUUCCUUUCUAAAUGCCCUAAAACAGCCUUGUUUGCUACUUGGAAUCUCUGCUUUGUCUUUCACAGUAGACACAAUAAAUUUUAAAAAUCAA